ACGACUAACCAAAUUCUCCCCAAGACACUAAUUUUGUAUCAAAUGGUUUGAGAAUUAACAGCACAGAUUAUGCAGUAACAAAUCACACGCAAGAACCAAAGCAUUAAAGAAACAAAGUGACACCAAGUAUAAGUGGUUCAGCACCAAGAUGUGGUGCCUACAUCCACUGGAAACAAAGCAACAGUCUUUCACUAUUUAGUUCACAAAACAAUACAAUAAUAGGAAUUUAUUUACAGAGAACAAGAACUUGUAAACCCCUUUCUCUCUCUAUCUUCUCUCUACUCUCUGUGUUUCCCAAUUCAUGUGUAGACGAUGACAGAGCCUGCACUUUUAACCUCUGUUUCUGGGUUGUUACAUUAACUACCCUUCCCGCCAAAACUAACCAAGAAGCUCCUCUCUCACGUGCUUGUCACAAGUUGGCAUAAGUGAGCUUGAAACGGCAAUCACAGAUGUCGUUCUUGAGCUAACGAGAUUUCAGCUUCACUACACGUGCAAACCACGUGUAUUACUUAAAGGUUGAAUGACCAAAGAGAGGAUGUCGGUUUUACUCUGAAGAACUCCUCAAGCGACAAGUCGGCUGAGACUAACUCCUCUAAACGACUUGUAGCACUUGAGUUUCGAGUUCACUGUUUAUCAAUCUCCACCUUGAACUCAGAACUCUAGCUACUCAUGUUUACUUCAUUCUCUUCCAUUUGCAGCUAAUCAGAAGCUGCAAAUCCCUACUAAGCUCAAACAGAAGUUGAGCUUGGCAGAUGGCAUAGCUUUAGUCAACAUAUCAGCUGGAUUUUGAUCAGUGUGAACCUUGAGCAUCUUCACAAUUCCCUUGGAAACUUCAAGUCUAACAAAAUGCAGCUUUACAUCGAUAUGUUUUGUUCUUUCGUGAUGGGUCUGGUUUUUACUCAAAUGUAUUGCACUCUGGCUAUCACAAUAUACUUCAACUGUUUCUUGUUUUGCUCCUAACUCAGAGACCAUUCCUUUUAACCAGAUGGCUUCCUUAAAAGCUUCUGCAGCUGCUGUAUAUUCGGCUUCAGUUGUGGACAAAGCUACCACACUUUGCAGUGUAGCUUUCCAAUUCACAGUGCAGCCUCCCAAAGUGAAUAUAAAACCUGUCUGAGACCUCAUUUUAUCAAGAUCUCCAGCGAAAUCUGAGUCAACAUACCCCACCAGCUUGUGCCCUUCCUGUUUUAACCCUCCAUAUAGCAGACCAAACUCCAUAGUGCCUUUCAGGUACCUCAUUAUCCAUUGGACUGCCCUCCAAUGUUCAUAACCUGGAUUUGCCAUGAAUCUACUCACUACACUCACAACAUGUGAGAUAUCAGGUCUAGUGAGAACCAUGGCAUACAUUAGAUUCCCAACUGCACUGGAGUAAGGUAUCCUUGCCAUUUUUCCUUGCUCUGCAUCAGUUUGUGGACACUGUGCAGCAGACAGCUUGAAGUGAUUUGCCAAAGGUGUUUGAACAGACUUAGAUUCAUGCAUCCCAAACCUAAGUAACACCUUUUUAACAUAGCCCUGUUGGGUUAGAAACAUAAGCUUCCUUCUCCUGUCUCUGAUAAUUUCCAUACCUAAGAUCUUCCUUGCAGCUCCAAGAUCUUUCAUAUCGAAUUCACUGCUCAAGAGGUCCUUUAAAUGACUGAUUUCAUUUAUGCUGUGACAUGCUAUAAGCAUGUCAUCCACAUACAGCAUAAGAUAAAUCAUCUUUCCAUCACCAAUGUCCUUAAAGUACACGCAACAAUCAUAAUUGCUUCUCUUAUAGGCAUGUUUUGUCAUGAAACUAUCAAACUUCAAGUACCAUUGCCUAGGAGACUGCUUUAAUCCAUAUAAAGAUUUCUUUAGUAAGCACACAUGAUCUUCCUUGCCAGACACCACAUACCCCUCAGGCUGCUCCAUUACAAUUUCUUCUUGUAAUUCACCAUGCAGAAAGGUUGUUUUAACAUCCAUCUGCUCUAGGUACAAGUCUUGAAUGGCAACUAAAGCUAAGAUGACUCUGAUGGAGGCAUGUUUCACAACUGGAGAGAAGAUUUCAUUGAAAUCAAUCCCCUCUCUUUGUGUGAAACCUCUUGCUACCAGCCUAGCCUUAAACCUACUAGGUUCAGCAUCAAAUAUCCCUUCCUUAAUUUUGAAGAUCCAUUUGCAGCUAACAGUCUUCCUUUUCUCUGGUCUAACUAUCAGUUUCCAAGUUCCAUUUUUCAUUAGUGAUUCAAUUUCCUCAUCCAUAGCCUUCUUCCAUUUCAGCUUAUCCCUGUUGUUUAUAGCUUCUUUAUAGGUUCUUGGCUCUUCUUCAUUUAUCUCUUGUGCAGCUGUUAAUGCAUAAGCUAUCAAAUAUGCUACUGCAUACCUCUUAGGUGGUCUUACAGCUCUCCUCUUUCUAUCCCUGACCAACUGAUAAGAGUUAUUUUCAUUCUCAGCUGGCUCUGACUCCUGAACACCAUCAGAUCCAUCAGCAACCCUUCCUGCAUCUUCUUCAGAUUCUGAUUCAGUCAUAUCUUGCUCAUGGGACUCCACCUGAAACUGAAUACUCCCAGGUUUUAUUUCUGAUCUAUACUCUUUGGAUUCAGUGGCUUUGGAAUUGUUCAAGAUUUCUGACUCAUUGAAAGUUACAUCCCUACUGAUAAUGCAUUUUGGUGGCUUCAGAUCAAUGCACCAUAGCCUAUAGCCUUUAACUCCAUCAGGGUAUCCCAAAAAUCUACACUUUAAGGCUCUUGGCUCCAAUUUGCCUUGUUUGACAUGUGCAUAAGCAACACAGCCAAAGAUUCUUAGUUUAGAGUAAUCAGCAACCCUUCCAGACCAUAGCUCGAUAGGUGUUUUGCAUUCUAUUGCUGUAGAUGGGCUUCUGUUUACCAAGUAGCAUGUUGUGUUUAAGGCCUCUGCCCAGAGUGACUUAGGCAGCUUUGAGUAUAGCAGCAUACACCUCACGUUGUCCAUUAAGGUUCUAUUCAUCCUCUCAGCAAGACCAUUUUGCUGAGGUGUGUGUAUGACUGUUUUGUGCCUCAUAAUCCCAUGUCUUUCACAGAAGUCCCCAAACUCUUUAUUGCAGAAUUCCAUUCCAUUAUCUAUUCUUAGAGCUUUUACUUUCAAACUUGUUUGUGUUUCUACCAGAAUUUUCCAUCUCUUGAACCUUUCCAAAACUUCAUCUUUGGUUUUGAGUACAUACACCCAAACCAUCCUUGAAUAGUCAUCUAUUAGGGAUAAGAAAUACCUACAGCCACCAAGGGAAUCUACCUGUGCAGGUCCCCACAGAUCAGAGUGUAUAUAUGCAAGCCUCUCUUUGGUAGAAUGAACUGCAGAUUCAAACUUGAGCCUGGAAGCCUUCCCUAGAAUACAGUCUUCACAGAACCCCAAAGAACUUAGCUUGUCACUUCCAAACACCCCCUUCUUUUGAAGCUCCUUCAGUCCUCUCUCCCUCAUGUGCCCCAACCUCAAGUGCCAUAGUUUUGCUUUAUCUUCACUCUUCUCAGUGACACUUGCCUCUCCAACAGUUGUAUGUCCAUUAAGCACAUACAAACCAUUUUGCUUGGUACCUUUCAUUAUGACUAUUGAGCCUCUGAUAACUUUUAAUGUCCCAUUUUCAGCCUUAAUGACACAUCCAGUUUGAUCAAGCAUGCCAAUAGAUAUUAGGUUCCUUUUGAGUUCAGGAACAUGCCUAACCUGAGUCAGUUCUCUAACCAUGCCAUCAUACAUCUUAAGGCUUACAGUCCCAAUCCCAACUACUUUACAAACUGAAUUAUUUCCCAUCAGCACCAUACCCCCAUCACAGGACUGAUAUGUAGUAAAGUAAUUUCUAUUUGGACUCAUAUGAAAAGUACAUCCAGAGUCUAGUACCCACUGACCUUGAGUUUUUUCUUUUGUGGCAAUGAGGACUUCAGCUGUCUCAAAACUGGUUUCUUCUGUGGCUAUUGCUGCAUUUCCAGAUUUUUCUUUUGAUUCCUUUUGUUUUGUUUUUCUCUCAGGGCAAUCCCUCUUGAAAUGCCCUUCUUUGUGGCAGUGAAAACACUUCAAGUGUUUUUGCUUUGACUUUGAUCUUCCUUGCUUCUUUCCUUUGUAUUCUCUUUUUUCAGAUCUUCCCCUUGCCAUCAGCCCUUCACUUGAUUCACUCUCUGAGUUAUCUUGUUUGUCUUUUAACUUCUUGGUACCAAGAGCAGAUUUAACCUCUUCCAAGGAGAGUGAUUGCCUUCCAUAUAACAAGGCAUCCACAAAAUGUUCAUACGAUUUUGGUAAAGAACUGAUUAACAGCAAAGCCUUGCUCUCAUCACUCAGUCCUUCAUCAAUUGUUUCCAGUUCAUCACAAACUUUAUUAAACUCAUCUAUGUGUUCAUCAAGUGAUGCUCCUUCAAUCAUCCUCAGUGAGAACAUCUUUUUCUUGAUGUAUAGCCUGUUUGCUAAAGACUUUGUCAUAUACAAUUGUUCCAGUUUUGCCCAGAGCCCAGCAACAGUCUUUUCUUUUGCAACUUCCCUUAUCACUGAGUCACCAAGACUGAGGAUGAUAGUGCUUCUUGCCUUUUUGUCAAUCUCAGCCAUCUGUUCUGGAGUUCUUGAAGAAGAAGCUUCUGCAUUUUCACUCUUGAUGACUGGAUCAAUGGCAUCUCCCAGACCUUGUGUGAUUAACAAUGCUUCCAUCUUGAUCCUCCACAUAUUGAAGUCAUUCUGACCCGUGAACUUCUCAAGAUCCACCUUGUUUGUCAUUUCUUGAACCUUGAUACAGAAAAGAGGGCUCUGAUACCAAUUUGUUGUGAAUUUGGCUUUGUUACGACUAACCAAAUUCUCCCCAAGACACUAAUUUUGUAUCAAAUGGUUUGAGAAUUAACAGCACAGAUUAUCCAGUAACAAAUCACAUGCAAGAACCAAAGCAUUAAAGAAACAAAGUGACACCAAGUAUAAGUGGUUCAGCACCAAGAUGUGGUGCCUACAUCCACUGGAAACAAAGCAACAGUCUUUCACUAUUUAGUUCACAAAACAAUACAAGAAUAAGAAUUGAUUACAGAGAACAAGAACUUGUAAACCCCUUUCUCUCUCUAUCUUCUCUCUACUCUCUGUGUUUCCCAAUUCAUGUGUAGACGAUGACAGAGCCUGCACUUUUAACCUCUGUUUCUGGGUUGUUACAUUAACUACCCUUCCCGCCAAAACUAACCAAGAAGCUCCUCUCUCACGUGCUUGUCACAAGUUGGCAUAAGUGAGCUUGAAACGGCAAUCACAGAUGUCGUUCUUGAGCUAACGAGAUUCCAGCUUCACCACACGUGCAAACCACGUGUAUUACUUAAAGGUUGAAUGACCAAAGAGAGGAUGUCGGUUUUACUCUGAAGAACUCCUCAAGCGACAAGUCGGCUGAGACUAACUCCUCUAAACGACUUGUAGCACUUGAGUUUCGAGUUCACUGUUUAUCAGAUCCUCCAUUAGCUCAGUAUUUGAUAAGCUCAGUUGGAUCAGACUUGG
rnacentral:lncRNA from 1 species